rnacentral:rRNA from 1 species
GCAGUGAGGAAUAUUGGACAAUGGAUGGAAAUCUGAUCCAGCCAUGCCGCGUGCAGGAAGACGGCCCUAUGGGUUGUAAACUGCUUUUGUAUGGGAGCAAUAAGGUCUAUGCGUAGACUGAUGAGAGUACCAUACGAAUAAGCAUCGGCUAACUCCGUGCCAGCAGCCGCGGUAAUACGGGGGAUGCAAGCGUUAAUUUCCGGAUUUAUUGGGUUUAAAGGGUGCGUAGGCGGUUUGAUAAGUCAGCGGUGAAAUAUUUCAGCUUAACUGAAAGGGUGCCGUUGACACUGUCAGGCUUGAAAUGGAUGCUGUGGGUGGAAUGUGUGGUGUAGCGGUGAAAUGCUUAGAUAUCACACAGAAUAUCGAUUGCGAAGGCAGCUCACAAAGCCAUUAUUGACGCUGAUGCACGAAAGUGUGGGGAUCAAACAGGAUUAGAUACCCUGGUAGUCCACACUGUAAACGAUGAUAACUCGCUGUCGGCGAUACACAGUCGGUAGCCAAGCGAAAGCGAUAAGUUAUCCACCUGGGGAGUACGACCGCAAGGUUGAAACUCAAAGGAAUUGACGGGGGCCCGCACAAGCGGAGGAACAUGUGGUUUAAUUCGAUGAUACGCGAGGAACCUUACCCGGGCUCGAACGGUGCAGGAAUACGUCAGAGAUGAUGUAGCUAGCAAUAGUCUGUAUCGAGGUGCUGCAUGGUUGUCGUCAGCUCGUGCCGUGAGGUGUCGGCUUAAGUGCCAUAACGAGCGCAACCCUUGUCGUUAGUUGCCAUCAGGUAAUGCUGGGAACUCUAGCGAGACUGCCACCGUAAGGUGUGAGGAAGGGGGAUGACGUCAAUCAGCACGGCCCUUACGUCCGGGGCGACACACGUGUUACAAUGGUAGGUACAGAGGGCAGCUACCCAGCAAUGGGGUGCGAAUCUCAAAGCCUAUCUCAGUUCGGAUCGGAGUCCUGCAACUCGACUCCGUGAAGUUGGAUUUGCUAGAAUCCGCAUCAAGCCAUGGCCCCGGUGAAUACGUUCCCGGCUUGUACCCACCCGCAUCGGA